GAGUUGUGUGCUUGAUUUACACAGUAAAAUUCAAGUUGUAAACAGGUUGCAUACUCGCAUGUGACAGUUUUAGGCAAAAGUUGAGUGAUGAAUAAUUGCUGUUUCUGCUGGGAGAAAACCUCUUUAAUUAAGUUCCCAAAUUUGUUAGGGUAUGAAUGAGACAGUGGUACAAGGCUCAUAUUGACUUAACUGUGACUCAAAUAUUAUCAUACUUUCCACCUCAUGUGUUCAAGGUUCUGUGUAUACAAAUGCAAAGUGAAAAAGUAUCUAUUAAUAUUAAGGUAAUUCCGCAGUAAUUGUUCCCGAAAUGAGAAUGUGCUGAAACUUCCCAGGCAUGGAGUUUAUGAUAUACUUAAAGUAAAAUCACACAAAAAAGUCGGGCUCACCGAACUCGUUAAGAUGAUGACAAUCAUAAUAUAUACCACCUUUACCCCAAUAUGGCACCAUCUUGACGCUCAUUAAUACGAGUAACAGUAAAAUCACAACAGCCCGAUAUUUAUUGACGUUUUUAGCGCGGAUUUUGCUUUUGUUAACUUAUCUUGUAAUUAUUUUUGAAAAAAUAUUGUGUUUUGAGCAAAAUGAAACUACUAACGUGUACAAUUCUGAUCUAUAAA